ACAGCUGUUGAAUCAGAGUCUGUGGCAGAGGCACCUCCCCAUCUCAACUCGGUUUUAAGGAACGCUUCAGGUGAUUCGCAUGCUUUUUCAAGUUUGAGAAUCACUGGGAUAAAUUCAUAGACUGAUUUGAACAAGGCAUUUCUAACUAGUAUUUUUGUUUGCAAUGCUUUUGACUGUAGUCAAUUAGGACUAGAGUCCCAGCAAAUAGAGGAGAAAUUUCAGAAGUAAUGCUGUUUUAAGGCUCAAAACUUUCCACAGUGCUGUGACUCACGAAACCUGAAAAAUCUUCCGUUUCUCCUUCUUGUUUCAAGUCAGAGCUUUGUAUUAACUUUCAGCGUCAACUGUAUGACCUCAGAAGCCUGGUUUCUGGUGUGGACUCCAUCAGGACCUAAAGCUUUAACAAGAAUUUAACCUGGAAAGAUAUGUCUGGUUUCUGUUUCUUCCUGGGCACAACAUCAAUUUCCUCUGGGGCAUUCAAAAAACACCAGUUGGGAAAGUUGAUCCCCAGAUGACUGGAGAGGUAUUUCAUGAAGAGGAUAGAGAUGGGGACUUGUUCAUCUCCAACUCAAGGGCUUUUUCUACAAAGCAUUUCUGCUAAAAGCUGAUCAAAGACCAGGUCCAGCUGGAAGUGUAAGACAAUGGAAGAAAGACCACACCAUUGGGAGCUAUGAAAAGUGAGCCUUUCCACUUCCAGAGUGUUCUCUGCAGAUAGUACACAGCAGAAAAACUUUGACUUUUUAAUGUAUCCUUGGAAAAAAAGCUAUUUCAGAAAU
rnacentral:lncRNA from 1 species